rnacentral:lncRNA from 1 species
CGGGGAGGGGCGGGGCGAAGGGCCCCCCGGGCGCUGGGUCAGAGCCAGGCCUGGGGGCGCAUCUCGGCGCGGGGGCCGCGGGGUGGGGUCGGGGCGGGUGCCGAGCGCCCGCGGGGUGCCCAGCUCUGCCGCCGCCGGGCCUCGGACCGGCCCCGGGUGGCGUUUCCUCCGCGGGGCCGCCGCGCACGCGCCCGGCUGCCGGGAGCGCACCGCGUGUGCCCAGCGCGCCAUGGCCGGGCCGGGCGCGCGCUGUCUGUGCCUGACUGUUUCUUUCACUAGAGGUUGCUCACUUUCGCUUCUUGGGUCCUGGCGGCUCCUCGGGCGGCUCCGUGAGCGCGCGCGCGCGUGUGCGUGUGCGCGUGUGCCCGCACGCGCCCGGCGAUCGCCCCCGGCCGCCCUGCGCCCUGCAGGAACGUUCGCCCCGCUGCGUCCGUCCGUGAACAGGCGUCCCCCCUCCGCUGCCUCCGACUCUCCCCACUUGCUGGGUCUUUACAAAAACUAUUCGCCGCUGAAGCCGCUGCCACUUCUCCUGACCCCAGAGGCCUCUGUGCGUCCCCGCCACCCCCAACAGGAAACCGAGGCCAGGAUGGAUGGAGUCUUGCUCCACUGAGCAGGAAGCCACAUCCUGUGGAGGCUGGAGACUUUUGCUUGAAAAAUUAGGGUGGCAGCCGUGGCUGCUGGGGUCCGAGAUGUUAUCCUCAUACCGCACCUUCAGAGAAGGGGAGACCGACUUGUUCUUGUUCCCAAGGAAGAGUGAGGAAUCCUGUUUCUCGGAGGUGUUCUGACCCAGCCUGGAGGGGGUCAAAGAAGACUUCCUGGAGGAGGUCCCUGCCCCGGCGCCCGCCCGCCUGCAGCCGAGAGGGGAGCUUCCAGACGGGGGUGAGGCCCCCGCACCCACUUCAGCCGCCUGAGCCUGGCUCUGUGUCUGGUGAACUGGCCAUCCUUCCUUCUCCCCAGCAGGCGAGCCAUGAAGAACGGGCCCCGCAGGGCCGGCCUGCAGCCUCAGCCGAGUGCGUCCACAGCCAUUAGCGGGAGGCCCCAGCCUGGCUGAUCAGGGCCAACGCACAGCCCACCCCUCACUCUGCUCCCGGGGGGGCUGCCCGGCAAAGCUCCACCCUUGGGGAGAGAACAGGAGCUGAGAAGGAAACGGAGGUUCCAGGGCCAGCAUGGACGUUUGUGUAGGUUGUUCACUGCACAAUGGGGCUGCUCAGGGGGCAUGUGGAGCUGCAGUUCAGCCAGCCCUCACUCGCCGGGCGGAGGGCCCUGGCACCAGCUGCGUCCGCACAGGACAUGGUGCCUGCUCCUGAUCCAUUUGAAGGAGCUCCAGGGGAGGGCUGGGCCUGCCUUGGUCUUGGGAAGACGCCACCUGAGAACUCGAGGCCCUACCUCGUCCCUUUUCUUAAUUGCGUUUUUACUGACUUCUUUUUGGAGCACAUACGUAUGUAUUUUAUCACAUGGGUGCAUUUGUGUAGCCACUGCCACAAGCAGGAUACACAACAGUUCCAUCACCCCAAAACUCCCUGGUGCUGUCCUUUUGUCAGCACGUCCCCCCUCUUUCCUGACCCCUGGCAGCCCCUGGUCUGUUCUCCGCGGCCGCAGUUUUCCCUGUAGACGGUGGAAGCAGACAGUCCGGGCUGAGAUGGGCCUCUCCUACGCAGCGUCCGGGCCCGAGACCCACCCGGGUUGUUGUCUGUAUCAGUGGUUUGUGCCUUUUUGGUGCUGAAUAGCAGCACGUGGUGUGGACGCCCCAGUGUGUUUGUCCACCCACCCACUGAUGGGUGUCCGAGCUGUUUCCAGUCCCGGGCUGUCACCGAUCCAGCCACUGUGGACAUUCAUGCCUCUGUGUCCAUGAACACACACGUCUGUGCACGGAGCUGUGUUUCCUGGCUCUGGGAUCGAUGCCUGGCGGCAGACAGCUGCCACAUGGCAAGAGUUUGACUAACUUUCUAAGAACUUGCCAAGCGGUUUUCCAGAGCAGCUGUGCCAUUCUGCACCUUCGUCCUUGGUGUCUGAGUUCUGGUUGCUCUGUGUGCUUGUCAGCACUUGCUAUUGUCAGGAUUUAAUAUUUUAGCCACUGAGUGGCGUGGAGUGGUGUCUCGUCACGGUUUUGAUUUUCACAUCCUGGUGGCUAAGAAUGUUGAGCAUCUUUUCAUGCCCCUAUUUGUUAUCUGUGUAUCUUCUCCGAUAAAGUGUCUGUACAAGUCCUUUGCCCAUUUUUAAACUGGGCUUUCUUUUAGCUGUCGCGUUUUCAGAGUUCUUUAUACCUUCUGGAUACAAGUCCUUUGUCAGAUGUGGAAUUUGCAAAUAUUUUCUCACGACCUAUGGCCUGUCUUUCCAUUCCCUGAACAGUUUCUUUCACAAAGCAAAAGUUCUUAAUUUUGAAGAAGUAAAAUUAAUCUUUUAUGGAUUGUGUUUUAUUUCCAUGUCUAAGAACUCUUUGCCUAACCCCAAGUUCCUAAGAUUUUCUCCCAAGUUUUCUAAAAGUUUUUUUUUUUUUUUUAAAGAUUGGCACCUGAGCUGACAUCUGUUGGCAAUCUUUUUUCUUCUUCUUCUUCUCCCCAAAUCCCCUGGUACAUAGUUGUAGACUCUAGUUGUGGGUCCUUCUAGUUGUGGCAUGUGGGACGCCACCUCAGCAUGGCUUGAUGAGCGGUUCCAUGUCCGCACCCAGGAUCCGAACCAGCAAAACCCUGGACCACCCAAGUGGAGUGCGAACUUAACCACUCGGCCACAGGCUCACCAUCUAAAAGUUUUAUAGUCACAGAUCUCACAUUUUGGGUCUAUGAUCCAUUGUGAGUUGACUUUUUGUAUAUGGUCUUCCUUCCUUCCUUCCUUUCUUUCUUCCUUUUUCUUUUCUUUUCUUUUCUUUUCUUUUGUAGAUGGAUGUCCAACUAUCCGUCAGUAUUUAUUACAUGAAUGAUUACAGCAGUUGAACACUUGUUUUGUUAAAAAAAGAACCUCAACCUAAACUUCAUAUCUUAUACAAAAUUUAACUCCCGGUGGAUCGUAGACUUAAGUGCACGAGGUAAAGGCGACAGGCGACCACGUCUGUCUCCUGUGAGACUCUCAGCCCAGCUCCACUGGCAGCUGACGUCGAAGUGGUGAGACUUACGCAGCACAAAGGGUAAAUCAAGUGAGAACCCUCUAUGGCCACACUUGCCGUGUCCGGGUUUGAGGACGGGAGUGAGGGACCCAACAGUUACCAAACGUGAACUCUGCACCGAGUACUCCACUCAAUGCUUUCUUUGCA